rnacentral:rRNA from 1 species
AACGUAGGUGGCAAGCGUUAUCCGGAAUUACUGGGCGUAAAGGGUGUGCAGGCGGGAGUGCAAGUGGUGUAUGAAAACGUCCGGCUUAACCGGGCGCUGUUAUGCCAGACUGCAGUUCUAGAGGACGAGAGAGGGGCGUGGAAUUCCGGGUGUAGUGGUGAAAUGCGUAGAAGAUCCGGAGGAACCCCAGAGGCGAAGGCGACGCCCUGGCGUCGUACCUGACGCUCAGCCACGAAAGCAUGGGGAGCGAACGGGG